rnacentral:lncRNA from 1 species
CCACAUUUUCAUCUUCUCCAAUACGGCAAUUCCGAUUAGGGUUUCAUCUUCUUCUACACGCUUCCAACUCGCAACAGUCUACUUUCUCCCCAAAUCUUCCAGUUUCUUCAACUUAUCAACACCUGAUAUGAUACGAUCCUCAUCCUUUCCUCCAUCGCCGAAUCUUUCACUCCGAUUCCUUCAUGAACUUAGAGGGUUUCCCUCAUUCUCUCUUGGUCGCCUCUUUACAAAUCUAAUAUCUUCCUUCCAACUAUUCGAAUCAAGAUAUGAUUUUGAGUUUCAAAUGAUUUUGUGGGUUUCUUCGUAAUGGAUCUUUUUACUGCUCCCACGAAUGUCGUCUCCACCAAGAAAUAUCCGAUCGGAGCCGAGCAAUUAUGAGCUGUAUGAGGAGAUAGGACAUAGAGAUGCAUGUGGAUGUGAGCCGAACAAUGCUAAAGGCAACAGGUUUUAAAAGUACCGGUUACGGAUUACGCUUUGACGAAAAGAAAUUGGCUAAUGUGCAAUCGACCUGGUACGUGCUUGCUUGCUUUAGCAUAGUUAUAGACUUAUGGUAAUUGUUUUGUUUGAUAUGUUUGUUGAUGCGGGAAAAGUAGGUUGGGACCAACUGAAUACUUGAACAAAACUAAAAUGCCAUUGUAAAUUUUAGAUUCUUAACACCAUUAGGAAGUAAUUACUAUUCAAUUGUAUUAGUUAUUGUUAAUUGUGGUAUCCUCUUGAAUUUUAUUUUCUGGUCUCUUUUUAGGAAGUAAUAACUAUUCAAUUGUAUUUUAAUAAGUUAUUGCUAAUUGUGGUAUCCUUUUGAAUUUUAGUUUCUGGUCUCUUUGUUUGAUUUUAUCUAUGUAUCAUGUUGGUUGUGGUGUAGCUAAAUUUUUUUCUUACGGGUUCGGAAAUUUUCGAGGGAUGAACGAUCGACCGUCCAUCACUAAAUUUCGGCUUUUUCUAAGGGUUCGAUGUUGAAAUUUCUAUGGGUGUGAUGUCAAAAUACAUGUAUAUGUAACACUAAUUUUUGUUUUGGUACGGGUUCGGCCGAACCCGUACGUCUCUAUGUACCUACGCCCCUGCAUAUUGGUUCAUAGCUAUAGUUCAAAUACUAUUACGAGUGCUCAAGUUGAAUAUGUAAACACAGUCAUUCGAAAUCGUUAAUUUUAGGGAUUUUUGAUAUAAAGAUUGUUAUUCUCAUCUUGGAUUUUAGUUCCUUACUUUGCUAUGUAUGUUAUAGUCUGUCGAUAUUCGAUCAUCAUUGUUGGAUUUACUAACUUAUAAUGUUGAGUUUGUUGACAUUGAGGAUGAAAUCAGAGAAGGUAAUGAAGAAAAAGAGUAAAAGGGGGAAGAUGAAUUAUUGCAAGGAAUGUGGAGCUUUGUUUAGAAAACCCACGCACCAGAAAAAGCAUAUGAAAAAGCCAUUCAUUGCAAUUUCAUCUAAAAAUUAUAAGGAUCCAAAAUUGGAUCAGAGAUCAAGUUACUCGGGUUAUCUGAACGAUUUAGGAAGAAAUUUUUUGAACAGGUUAUACUUAUUGAAUCUUGAUAUGGGUUAAUGAGGGAGUGUAAAUGACUACAGAGUUUGAUGGUGGUGAAUUUCUUCCUUUGACAAAAAUGCGAUGAUGAACGACACCGGAGAGGUUAAGGAUGAUGAUAUAGAUAUUUUAUUGAAGACGUUGAUGCCGAACUUUUUAAAGAGUUAGGUAUUCUAUUAGUUUAGCUUUAUAUAGAUUUUGGAAUUGUAUGUAGUUUAUAAUUUAAUGUAGUUUGUUAUUCAUUUAGAAAGAA